GGUUCAGGGAAUUGUCAACAAAGGGACGAGAGACGCGCAACUCCGCUCCGCACUGUGCGCCAGCAUCCCCGGGGCACGGAGGGCGCUGCGGCCCGCCCGGAGACCCCCCCACCCAGGCUGGAUCCGGGCCCUGGGGCCCAGGGAGCGGGUCCUACCUGCUCUUUCCCGGCUUGAUGCGGGCGUGUUUUCCUGUAUGUAUUUUUUCGUGCGGCCACAAAAAGCAUCAGCUGGGGUUCCCGAAGGUGUGGACAAAUCCUCCAAGAUUUAACUUCCAAGAAAACCGGCGGCGGAGCGGGUGGAGGAGGCGAGGAUGUGUGGCCAAUGCACGCGGAGUGCAAGGCCGCCUAGUUGGGAGCCGCAAGAGCCUGCCUGGUGUGGCAGGCACACGGAACCCAAUCCCUGUCUGUCCGCUGCGGCCUGGGAGGGGAGCGCCGGCCUCACCAGAGGAAGGAGCACGAGGGGAGGAGUUCCGAGAGGAAAUAAUUAGUGAAAUAUUUGCAGAAGAUGCUGGGAUGUGGAUUUAAUUCCGGAUGGACAGUGGUGCUUCUGAUUCCCUCAGUCUGUUUCCCCACCCACGAUCUCCUCUUUCCUUGGCCUAGACACACCAAAAAUAAUUCAAUAAAAUAAAAAUAAAAAUUUAAAAAUCUGUAAA
ensembl:lncRNA FOXD3-AS1 FOXD3 antisense RNA 1